rnacentral:ribozyme from 14 species
UUUGUUUUUUUUUUUUUUUUUUACAAAAACAAACGGUGAAAUUUAUUCAAAAAAGGACGUCUGGGCAGUUGUCUCGUUGAGAGCACGACACUGCAGCCAUCCAUGAAUACCACAAAAAAUUAAUGAAUAUCAAAGAAU